rnacentral:rRNA from 1 species
GACGUAGGGUGCAAGCGUUAAUCGGAAUUACUGGGCGUAAAGCGUGCGCAGGCGGUUUCUUAAGUCAGAUGUGAAAGCCCCGGGCUUAACCUGGGAACUGCGUUGGAAACUGGGAGACUUGAGUGUGGCAGAGGGGGGUGGAAUUCCACGUGUAGCAGUGAUAUGCGUAGAUAUGUGGAGGAACACCGAUGGCGAAGGCAGCCCCCUGGGUCAACACUGACGCUCAUGCACGAAAGCGUGGGGAGCAAACAGG